rnacentral:tRNA from 1 species
GGAGAGGUGGCCGAGUGGUUGAAGGCGGCCGUCUUGAAAACGGCAAGGCGAUGAGCCUCGGGGGUUCGAAUCCCUCCCUCUCCGCCG